GACCAUUUGCUCUACCCCAAUCCUGGUUCGGGAAUGAUACAUGAGCAACAUCUCCAGUUUUUCCAUUUCCUCGAAGUUCUUUUGGCAAAGGUCAUGUUUGAAGGAAUUCUUGUUGAUAUACUUUUUGCAACAUUCUUCUUGAGCAAGUUAAAACAGAAGUAAGGUUUUUAAAGAUUUACUGUCUUACUGUUUUGUAUUUUGUGCUGAUCCACUAAUCGUAGUAUUGAUGGUCAUGACAAUGACUAGUUGCAAGUUACUUGAA